UUUUUUUUUUUUUCUACAACCGACACAGAGACGCUGAGGACCCCAUUAGGGACCCCCCUGGGGACCCCCCCCUCCACCAUACCCUGAGCCCCGGGAGGAGGUCCUCCUGGGUGAAGGAGGACCAGAAGGUGUGGAGGUGUGUCAGUGUGUCUGAGGACCCUCCUCCACCUGGGGACACUCUGUAGAAGGACAGAGAGCCAGCAGGCCGGUCCAGAUACACUCCUACUCUGGUGGAGCCAGCGGGGCGGAGAGGGAGGGC